GGUCAUGUGGCCUAGUGGUCAUGGCGUCUGCCUGGUAAGCGGAAGGUCGUGGGUUCGAUUCCCAUCCCUUGACACU
rnacentral:tRNA from 1 species